GGGUUAGUUUCUUAAUUGGUAAAGAACUUUCUUGUCAAGAAAGCCUAUGUCGGUUCGAUCCCGACCUGGCCCG
rnacentral:tRNA from 1 species